AAGGCUUUAGCUUAAUUAAAGUAUCUGUUAUGCAUGCAGAAGAUGUAGGGUAGAGUCCUGCAAGUCUUA
rnacentral:tRNA from 1 species